UUAAAAUUGUUGCAGUUAAAAAGCUCGUAGUUGAAUUUCUGCUGCAUUACAUAUCUCUUGUUUGAGUUUGUUUUUGUGGCUUAUUUCGGUUUGAUUUUUUUAUCUUUCCGGAUGAUUACUUUGAGAAAAUUAGAGUGCUCAAAGCAGGCUUUUGCCUUGAAUAGUUUAGCAUGGAAUAAUAAAGUAGGACUUUGGUUCUAUUUUGUUGGUUUUAGGUACCAAAGUAAUGGUUAAUAGGAACAGUUGGGGGCAUUCGUAUUUAACUGUCAGAGGUGAAAUUCUUAGAUUUGUUAAAGACAAACUACUGCGAAAG
rnacentral:rRNA from 1 species